rnacentral:rRNA from 1 species
GAUGAACGCUGGCGGCGUGCCUAAUACAUGCAAGUCGAGCGAACGGACGAGAAGCUUGCUUCUCUGAUGUUAGCGGCGGACGGGUGAGUAACACGUGGAUAACCUACCUAUAAGACUGGGAUAACUUCGGGAAACCGGAGCUAAUACCGGAUAAUAUUUUGAACCGCAUGGUUCAAAAGUGAAAGACGGUCUUGCUGUCACUUAUAGAUGGAUCCGCGCUGCAUUAGCUAGUUGGUAAGGUAACGGCUUACCAAGGCAACGAUGCAUAGCCGACCUGAGAGGGUGAUCGGCCACACUGGAACUGAGACACGGUCCAGACUCCUACGGGAGGCAGCAGUAGGGAAUCUUCCGCAAUGGGCGAAAGCCUGACGGAGCAACGCCGCGUGAGUGAUGAAGGUCUUCGGAUCGNUAAACUCUGUUAUUAGGGAAGAACAUAUGUGUAAGUAACUGUGCACAUCUUGACGGUACCUAAUCAGAAAGCCACGGCUAACUACGUGCCAGCAGCCGCGGUAAUACGUAGGUGGGCAGCGUUAUCCGGAAUUUAUGGGGCGUAAGCGCGCGUAGGCGGUUUUUUAGUCUGAUGUGAAAGCCCACGGCUCAACCGUGGAGGGUCAUUGGAAACUGGAAAACUUGAGUGCAGAAGAGGAAAGUGGAAUUCCAUGUGUAGCGGUGAAAUGCGCAGAGAUAUGGAGGAACACCAGUGGCGAAGGCGACUUUCUGGUCUGUAACUGACGCUGAUGUGCGAAAGCGUGGGGAUCAAACAGGAUUAGAUACCCUGGUAGUCCACGCCGUAAACGAUGAGUGCUAAGUGUUAGGGGGUUUCCGCCCCUUAGUGCUGCAGCUAACGCAUUAAGCACUCCGCCUGGGGAGUACGACCGCAAGGUUGAAACUCAAAGGAAUUGACGGGGACCCGCACAAGCGGUGGAGCAUGUGGUUUAAUUCGAAGCAACGCGAAGAACCUUACCAAAUCUUGACAUCCUUUGACAACUCUAGAGAUAGAGCUUUCCCCUUCGGGGGACAAAGUGACAGGUGGUGCAUGGUUGUCGUCAGCUCGUGUCGUGAGAUGCUGGGUUAAGUCCCGCAACGAGCGCAACCCUUAAGCUUAGUUGCCAUCAUUAAGUUGGGCACUCUAAGUUGACUGCCGGUGACAAACCGGAGGAAGGUGGGGAUGACGUCAAAUCAUCAUGCCCCUUAUGAUUUGGGCUACACACGUGCUACAAUGGACAAUACAAAGGGCAGCGAAACCGUGAGGUCAAGCAAAUCCCAUAAAGUUGUUCUCAGUUCGGAUUGUAGUCUGCAACUCGACUACAUGAAGCUGGAAUCGCUAGUAAUCGUAGAUCAGCAUGCUACGGUGAAUACGUUCCCGGGUCU